UACGUAGGGUGCAAGCGUUGUCCGGAAUUAUUGGGCGUAAAGAGCUCGUAGGCGGUUUGUCGCGUCUGCUGUGAAAACCCGAGGCUCAACCUCGGGCCGCAGUGGGUACGGGCAGACUAGAGUGCGGUAGGGGGAGAUUGGAAUUCCUGGUGUAGCGGUGGAAUGCGCAGAUAUCAGGAGGAACACCAAUGGCGAAGGCGGAUCUCUGGGCCAUUACUGACGCUGAGGAGCGAAAAGCGUGGGGGAGCGAACAGG
rnacentral:rRNA from 1 species